rnacentral:rRNA from 1 species
GACGAACGCUGGCGGCGUGCUUAACACAUGCAAGUCGAACGCUGAAGCUCAGCUUUUGUUGGGUGGAUGAGUGGCGAACGGGUGAGUAACACGUGAGUAACCUGCCUCCUUCUUUGGGAUAACGCCCGGAAACGGGUGCUAAUACUGGAUAUUCACUGGUCUUCGCAUGGGGGUUGGUGGAAAGGGUUUUUCUGGUGGGGGAUGGGCUCGCGGCCUAUCAGCUUGUUGGUGGGGUGAUGGCCUACCAAGGCUUUGACGGGUAGCCGGCCCGAGAGGGUGAACCGGUACAUUGGGACUGGGGAUACGCCCAAGAUACGUACGGGGGGAGGAGGUGGGAAAAUUGGCGAAAGGGGGGAAGACCGAUGCCGCGGAGGCGGGGGAGGGAUUGGGGGCGUUGGGUUGGUAAACCCUUUUGGUAAUGGUUCAGCCCGAAACAUUGGUGGUGUGAGGGUAGUGGGUAAAGAAGCGCCGGCUAACUACGUG